rnacentral:tRNA from 1 species
AUUACUUUGGCAGAAUAGUGUAUUGAAUUUAGAAUUCAAAAAUGUAAUUUUUUACAGGUAAUA